UUUUUUUAUUUUGUAUUUUAGUGUAGCAUCUGAAUGAUACUGCUUUGGGAAAAGUGCCUGUGCAUGCAAUCAUUCCUUGCUAGUAAACACAACUCUGCAUCUAAACCUGGACAGUUCACCACAAUACUUACCAGUUACCACAAAGAUCCUUAUGCAAAGGAGUUUGGCAUCAAAAUCAGAACUCCCUCCUUUGAGUGCUUUUUAAUUUUUCGUCAUUGCUUCUGGUUGGUUUUGUUGCU